rnacentral:rRNA from 1 species
UACGUAGGAUGCAAGCGUUGUCCGGAAUUAUUGGGCGUAAAGAGCUCGUAGGCGGUUUGUCGCGUCUGCUGUGAAAACCCGAGGCUCAACCUCGGGCCUGCAGUGGGUACGGGUAGACUAGAGUGCGGUAGGGGAGAUUGGAAUUCCUGGUGUAGCGGUGGAAUGCGCAGAUAUCAGGAGGAACACCAAUGGCGAAGGCAGAUCUCUGGGCCGUAACUGACGCUGAGGAGCGAAAGCAUGGGGAGCGAACAGG